UAAAAAGGACUGCAAAAGAGGGGUAGAUAGAGGAUUCCCACCUAUCCAACAUCACCACUGGGAUACUCAGGCUCUUCUUUACUGUCAACACAACAUCAGGCACCGGGGCACACAGAAAUACUGAACAUCUUUUCCAUGAAAGAGCAGAACUGGCCCAGCAGUUUCCAUUGAAAAUCCAGUUAGAAGUUUCAAAUGACAAAUUUACCAGAGGAAUUCCCCAGGACACAGCCCAGCUGCGGAGGGGUCUGUAAUCACACAACCAG